rnacentral:rRNA from 1 species
UGCCAGCCGCCGCGGUAAUACGGGGGGGGCGAGCGUUAUUCGGAAUUAUUGGGCGUAAAGGGCACGUAGGCGGCCUGUCAAGUCAAAGGUGAAAUCCCUCGGCUCAACCGAGGAACUGCCCUUGAUACUGUCAGGCUUGAGGCCGGGAGGGGGUGGCGGAAUUCCCAGUGUAGCGGUGAAAUGCGUAGAUAUUGGGAGGAACACCAGUGGCGAAGGCGGCCACCUGGACCGGUUCUGACGCUGAUGUGCGAAAGCGUGGGGAGCAAACAGGAUUAGAUA